AUACAGAGGGUGCGAGCGUUAUCGGAUUACUGGGCGUAAAGCGUGCGUAGGCGGCUUUUUAAGUUCGGAUGUGAAAUCCCCGCAGCUUAACUUAGGAAUUGCAUUCGAUACUGGGAAGCUAGAGUAUGGGAGAGGAUGGUAGAAUUCCAGGUGUAGCGGUGAAAUGCGUAGAGAUCUGGAGGAAUACCGAUGGCGAAGGCAGCCAUCUGGCCUAAUACUGACGCUGAGGUACGAAAGCAUGGGGAGCAAACAGGAUUAGAUACCCUGGUAGUC
rnacentral:rRNA from 1 species